rnacentral:rRNA from 1 species
UACAGAGGUCUCAAGCGUUGUUCGGAUUCAUUGGGCGUAAAGGGUGCGUAGGCGGCGCGGUAAGUCGGGUGUGAAAUCUCGGGGCUUAACUCCGAAACUGCAUUCGAUACUGCCGUGCUUGAGGACUGGAGAGGAGACUGGAAUUUACGGUGUAGCGGUGAAAUGCGUAGAUAUCGGGAGGAACACCAAUGGCGAAGGCAGCUCGCUGGGACGGUACUGACGCUGAGGCGCGAAAGCGUGGGGAGCAAACAGG